rnacentral:rRNA from 1 species
GUCGGAUGUGCCGCAAGGUGCAUGGCAGACGGGUGAGUAACGCGUGGGGAAUCUACCUUUUAGUGGGGAAUAACGCUCCGAAAGGAGUGGUAAUACCGCAUGAGACCGAGUGCUGGGAUGCAUUUGGUGAAACCUGGGGACCGGCAACGGCCUGGGGCUAAGAGAGGAUCCUGCGUCUGAUUAGCUAGUUGGCGGGGUAAUGGCCCACCAAGGCGACGAUCAGUAGCCGGCCUGAGAGGGUGAUCGGCCACACUGGAACUGAGACACGGUCCAGACUCCUACGGGAGGCAGCAGUGGGGAAUUUUGCGCAAUGGGCGAAAGCCUGACGCAGCAACGCCGCGUGGGUGAUGAAGGUCUUCGGACUGUAAAACCCUGUCGUCAGGGACGAAGGUGCGCAUGUUAAUAGCGUGAGCGCUUGACGGUACCUGGAGAGGAAGCCCCGGCUAACUCUGUGCCAGCAGCCGCGGUAAUACAGAGGGGGCAAGCGUUAUUCGGAAUUAUUGGGCGUAAAGGGCGCGUAGGCGGUUUUUUAAGUCAGAUGUGUAAUCCCCGAGCUUAACUUGGGAACUGCAUCUGAGACUGGAAGGCUAGAGUACUGGAGAGGGUGGUGGAAUUCCUCGUGUAGCGGUGAAAUGCGUAGAGAUGAGGAGGAACACCAGUGGCGAAGGCGGCCACCUGGACAGUAACUGACGCUGAGGCGCGAAAGUGUGGGUAGCAAACAGGAUUAGAUACCCUGGUAGUCCACGCUGUAAACGAUGAACAC